AGUUUGUUAGCAAGAAACAGUUAUUUGCAAGAGAAAAUGUUUUUUGGCAGUUCCUUGCAAAAGAGAAUAUACAAGUUAGGUUUUUUGCAGGGCUGAGGUCUCAUUUUCGAAAUUACCUACAGUGAAUAUGGCUUUUGAUAGCCUGAGUGUUUCAUGAGGAUGCUAAGUAGUGAAGAGUCCAAUCUCAAGGUGUUGGUAUUUAUGAUAUGAGGGAAGAGAAGUUUGUUUCUGUAUGUUCUGAGCCAUAGCUGGGUAAAAGGUGGUUGGUCUGCAGAACUUCUGAACUUCUACGGCCUUUCAAACUGCUGAGGUAGGAAUUAAAACUGGGAAUUGCAGGCCCUGGGAGCCCGGUGUCUACAAUCACAAGUCUGUUUUGCUGUGUGCUGUCUGUGUAGGCAUGAGCAAGUUUUGUUUACAGGGGAGGAUCUCAAUUUGAACUUGAGAUACUGAUCCAGCCAAUUCAUGAUUUGAAUUGCCCUGUGGAGGUCUGUCUCCUGUGCUGGGGCAUUCAAGAUCUUCAGGAAGAUAUUUCUGGUGUCUAUAAUAGUUGUGGAAAGGUUAUUUAGGCUCUUAUAAAUGGAAGAAGGGAAUUUGACUUGUGUACUUUGACUACCGGUUUUUACAACAAACAAAAAACCUAUUCUUUAUACUUUAAAAUCUAAACCCACUAUUUUCAUGGUUGUUAACAUUUCCCAGGCUGAAGAAUGUCACUGUAUGUACAACAGACUUUUUAUUGAUUUCAGUGCUACUUGUGAAUGAUCCUGCUACUGAAUUAGACAGCAUACAUACCUGUAUUAGCUUGUCUCAGGAAAAAUGUGAAAGGUCUGUCUGCUCUGAAAAUAGGUGUUCGAGAUCUUUUUAGUAAAACCAUUGCUGUAACGCAACGAAGAAGACAUUAGUAAAAUGUCUGUUUUCAUUCCAUUUUCUGUGCAGUGCCCUCAACUCAUGGUACCAAAUACCAGAGCUUGAAUUGCUGCUCUAAAGAUAAAACAAUGAUUUUAGCCAGCAGUGAAAUCGGUCUAGGUGAAUGAACAAGUGUUGAGAGAUUACAGGCAGAUGAUGCAUGUGUACUUCAUUGCUGAAGUGAGUCAGUCUGGCUCUGGAUUUCAAAGAAAUCUGGGUUUAUUUUGUUAAACUGGAUUUUCCCUGGACUGGCAAAGCUGGUUUUCACUUGAUCAUUUACAUGCUUAAUUGAACAUCAAACAUGGAAAGGGAAGAGGUUUAAGAGCUCUAAUGAGCAAUCACAAAGGUAAAAUGGAAAUGUGUUAGAUACAAAUGUUUGCAUUUAGGCUAGGCAUGCUUCUAAAUGCUGGCAUGCUUCCUUAAAGGAACGAGUAGCUGUUGUUUUUAUAGUGAUAAGCUUCAGGAGUGAAAAUUAAAUUUGUAUAUGUGACUCACCUGUAGCUCCUGAUGCCUUCGUACCAUCUUCCAUUACUUCGAUCUUUGCUUUGUGAAUGGCUUCUGAAAUAUAAAGGCCAGCUUGCUCUGG